AUUGUGCCGUGCUGCUCUUGGGAUGCAUCGUGGCCGAGCAGUAUCCCAUAGGCAUGUAUAGGCCAUGUUUGUGGCAGUCGUUCAGCAGCCGCUGGUGGCUGGCGUGGUGCUGCUGGGCUCUCCCUUGUCCAUCCACGCACCCAGCCGUCGGCCUCCUUGCAGUCCUUCGCUCUCAGCUCCACGAGGCCCUGCUCCCCUCAACUCCAUGGCAUUUUUCCACAAGAGAGAGGAGGGCAGCGCUCAUUGCAUGCACAUUUCCA
rnacentral:lncRNA from 1 species